rnacentral:rRNA from 1 species
AUACGUAGGGUGCAAGCGUUAAUCGGAAUUACUGGGCGUAAAGCGUGCGCAGGCGGUUUUGUAAGUCUGACGUGAAAUCCCCGGGCUUAACCUGGGAAUUGCGUUGGAGACUGCAAGGCUGGAGUCUGGCAGAGGGGGGUAGAAUUCCACGUGUAGCAGUGAAAUGCGUAGAGAUGUGGAGGAACACCGAUGGCGAAGGCAGCCCCCUGGGUCAAGACUGACGCUCAUGCACGAAAGCGUGGGGAGCAAACAG